UAUAGCUUAGUUGGCAGAGCAUGAGACUCUUAUUAAUUUCAGGGUUGUGGGUUCAAGUUCCACACUGGGCAAAA